rnacentral:rRNA from 1 species
CUACGGGUGGCUCCAGUGGGGAAUAUUGCACAAUGGAGGAAACUCUGAUGCAGCAACGCCGCGUGGAGGAUGACACUUUUCGGAGCGUAAACUCCUUUUAUAUAGGAAGAAGAUGACGGUACUAUAUGAAUAAGCGCCGGCUAACUCCGUGCCAGCGCAGCCGCGGUAAUACGGAGGGCGCAAGCGUUACUCGGAAUCACUGGGCGUAAAGAGCGUGUAGGCGGAUUAAAAAGUCAGAAGUGAAAUCCUAUAGCUUAACUAUAGAACUGCUUCUGAAACUCUUAAUCUAGAAUAUGGGAGAGGUAGAUGGAACUUCUGGUGUAGGGGUAAAAUCCGUAGAGAUCAGAAGGAAUACCGAUUGCGAAGGCGAUCUACUAGAACAUUAUUGACGCUGAGACGCGAAAGCGUGGGGAGCAAACAGGAUUAGAUACCCUGGUAGUC